AGUGAACGCUGGCGGUAGGCCUAACACAUGCAAGUCGAACGGCAGCACAGUAAGAGCUUGCUCUUACGGGUGGCGAGUGGCGGACGGGUGAGGAAUACAUCGGAAGCUACUUUUUCGUGGGGGAUAACGUAGGGAAACUUACGCUAAUACCGCAUACGACCUACGGGUGAAAGCAGGGGAUCUUCGGACCUUGCGCGAUUGAAUGAGCCGAUGUCGGAUUAGCUAGUUGGCGGGGUAAAGGCCCACCAAGGCGACGAUCCGUAGCUGGUCUGAGAGGAUGAUCAGCCACACUGGAACUGAGACACGGUCCAGACUCCUACGGGAGGCAGCAGUGGGGAAUAUUGGACAAUGGGCGCAAGCCUGAUCCAGCCAUCCCGCGUGGGUGAAGAAGGCCUUCGGGUUGUAAAGCCCUUUUGUUGGGAAAGAAGAGCAGCAGGUUAAUACCCCGCUGUUCUGACGGUACCCAAAGAAUAAGCACCGGCUAACUUCGUG
rnacentral:rRNA from 1 species